UACGUAGGGAGCAAGCGUUGUCCGGAAUCAUUGGGCGUAAAGCGCGCGUAGGUGGCCUCGUAAGUCCGCUGUGAAAGUCAAAGGCUCAACUUUUGAAAGCCGGUGGAUACUGUGGGGCUAGAGUACGGAAGAGGCGAGUGGAAUUCCUGGUGUAGCGGUGGAAUGCGCAGAUAUCAGGAGGAACACCAAUAGCGAAGGCAGCUCGCUGGGACGUUACUGACACUGAGGCGCGAAAGCGUGGGGAGCGAACAGG
rnacentral:rRNA from 1 species